UGAAACGACUGCUAAGACUGGAUAGGAGAUAAGAAGGCAUCUUUUUAUUUUUAAAAGACCUAGCAAUAGGUAUGCUUAGGGAAGAGCUUGCGUCACAUUAGUUAGUUGGUGGGGUAAUGGCCUACCAAGACGAUGAUGUGUAGCCGGGCUGAGAGGUCGAACGGCCACAUUGGGACUGAGACACGGCCCAAACUCCUACGGGAGGCAGCAGUAAGGAAUUUUCGGCAAUGGAGGAAACUCUGACCGAGCAAUGCCGCGUGAACGAUGAAGUAUUUCGGUACGUAAAGUUCUUUUAUUAGGGAAGAAAAGAUGGUGGAAAAACCAUUAUGACGGUACCUAAUGAAUAAGCCCCGGCUAACUAUGUGCCAGCAGCCGCGGUAAUACAUAGGGGGCAAGCGUUAUCCGGAGUUAUUGGGCGUAAAGGGUGCGUAGGCGGUUAAAUAAGUUUAUGGUCUAAGUGCAACGCUCAACGUUGUGAUGCUAUAAAAACUGUUUAGCUAGAGUUGGAUAGAGGCAAGUGGAAUUCCGUGUGUAGUGGUAAAAUGCGUAAAUAUACGGAGGAACACCAGAAGCGAAGGCGGCUUGCUGGGUCUUAACUGACGCUGAGGCACGAAAGCGUGGGGAGCAAACAGGAUUAGAUACCCUGGUAGUCCACGCCCUAAACGAUGAGUACUAAACGUUGGAUAAAACCAGUGUUGAAGUUAACACAUUAAGUACUCCGCCUGAGUAGUACGUACGCAAGUAUGAAACUUAAAGGAAUUGACGGGACUCCGCACAAGCGGUGGAUCAUGUUGUUUAAUUCGAAGGUACCCGAAAAACCUCACCAGGUCUUGACAUGCUUUUGCAAAGCUGUAGAAAUACAGUGGAGGUUAUCAGAAGCACAGGUGGUGCAUGGUUGUCGUCAGCUCGUGUCGUGAGAUGUUGGGUUAAGUCCCGCAACGAGCGCAACCCUUGUUGUUAAUUGCCAUCAUUAAGUUGGGGACUUUAGCAAGACUGCCAAUGAUAAAUUGGAGGAAGGUGGGGACGACGUCAAAUCAUCAUGCCCCUUAUGACCUGGGCUACAAACGUGAUACAAUGGCUGUUACAAAGGGUAGCUAAAGCGUAAGCUUCUGGCGAAUCUCAAAAAAGCAGUCUCAGUUCGGAUUGAAGUCUGCAACUCGACUUCAUGAAGUUGGAAUCGCUAGUAAUCGCGAAUCAGCAUGUCGCGGUGAAUACGUUCACGGGGUUUGUACACACCGCCCGUCAAUCCA
rnacentral:rRNA from 1 species